GCUGAGAUGGAGGGCAGGGCAGCAGCCUGGAAACCAGCAAUGUGAUGUUGUGGAGGGGAGCACAAGCGUUGUUGAUAAGCAUGCGAUUCAAGUCUGUGAGGGAAAGCACUGCUGUAUACACCAGAAAACUGAGAACACUGUGAGAAAUGACUCUUCUGCAGACAAUUCAAUAACAAAAUGAAGUAGAUUUGGAACACUGCUUUCAAUGAAAGGCCAAACUCUGACUGGAUUUGGUGCAUCAGGUGGCAUUAAGAGCUACCAGGAGCAUCAUGUACCUUUCACAC